AGUGCACAGUGCGGCGGGCGCCCCGCAGAGGCGCGCAAGUGUGCGCGAUAGCAGUUGCAUUUCGCUUUGUGUCGCGCCCGCAGUGGUCGACGGACCAGCAUCCUGUCGGGCUAGAUCAUGGCCCACCCAGCCAGCGAGCUGAAAACAGCCCGUCCAGAUGCAAAUAAUGCAAGAUCACUAGUGAACAAGUAUAUGUAUAGAAACGGUCAGCCCCUUCCUAUAUUCGAGACGCGGCCAUACAAUGGGAACAUCGCUUCACGUGUGAAAAUUUCUCUUCCAUCAGUCGAUGUGGAAUUUGAAUGCAGGGCUGCAGGAGCAACUGACAAAGUAAGC